UGAAUACGAGAUACUACGGUGUCGAAGCAGUCUAUGUCAUACUUCCAAGAAAAGCUUGCACUGUCAUAAACAAAUAAUGCCUGUACCAUAACCGACACAGGUGGGUAGGUAGAGUAUACUAAGGGGCGCGAGAUAACUCUCUCUAAGGAACUCGGCAAAAUGACUCCGUAACUUCGGGAGAAGGAGUGCCUUAUAUUUAUAAGGUUGCAAUAACAAGAUCCAAGCAACUGUUUAUCAAAAACACAGGUCUCCGCUAAGUCGUAAGACGAUGUAUGGGGGCUGACGCCUGCCCAGUGCCAGAAGGUUAAAGAAGUUGGUUAGCUUUUGCGAAGCUGAUAACUGAAGCCCUGGUGAACGGCGGCCGUAACAAUAACGGUCCUAAGGUAGCGAAAUUCCUUGUCGGGUAAGUUCCGACCCGCACGGAAGGCGUAAUGAUUUGGAUACUGUCUCGGAGAGGGACUCGGUGAAAUAGACUUGUCUGUGAAGAUGCGGACUACUUGCACCAGGACAGAAAGACCCUAUGAAGCUUUACUGUAACCUGAAAUUGAAAUUGGACUUUACUUGCGCAGGAUAGGUGGGAGGCUUUGAGAAUAUUCUUGCGGGAAUAUUGGAGCCAUCAGUGAGAUACCACUCUGGUAAUGUUAGAUUUCUAACUUUGUAUCAUUAUCUGGUCAAAGAACAGUUUCAGGCGGGCAGUUUGACUGGGGCGGUCGCCUCCUAAACGGUAACGGAGGCGCACAAAGGUUUCCUCUGAACGGGUAGAAAUCGUAUCUAGAGUGUAAAGGCAUAAGGAAGCUUGACUGUGAGACCUACAAGUCGAGCAGGGACGAAAGUCGGUCUUAGUGAUCUGACGGUGCUGAGUGGAAAGGCCGUCACUCAACGGAUAAAAGUUACUCUAGGAUAACAGGCUGAUCUCCCCCAAGAGUUCACAUCGACGGGGAGGUUUGGCACCUCGAUGUCGGCUCAUCGCAUCCUGGGGCGGUAGUACGUCCCAAGGGUUGGGCUGUUCGCCCAUGAAAGCGGUACGCGAGCUGGGUUCAGAACGUCGUGAGACAGUUCGGUCCAUAUCCGGUGUAAGCGUUAGAAUAUUGAGAGGAGCCUUCUUUAGUACGAGAGGACCGAGAAGGAUGCACCGCUGGUGUACCAGUUAUUGUGCCAACAGUAAACGCUGGGUAGCUAUGUGUGGAGUGGAUAACCGCUGAAAGCAUCUAAGUGGGAAGCCCACCUCAAGAUAAGUAUUCUC
rnacentral:rRNA from 1 species